ensembl:lncRNA
UUUGUCUCCUCGUUACUUCCUCCUACGCCCCUCCAGGCAACUUGCUACCGCGCUUGUGCCUGUUGCUUGCUGGUCCCUGCUGGUGCCCUGCCUUGGUUGGUGAUGCGUGCAGGCUUGUUGAUCGCGUAACAGUCUCGGUGUGGAUUCCAACCGAACGGUAACAUUCAGCGGUGCGCUGUGAGCCAGCUGGCUUAAGUAGGAAGUUGCCAACUUCCUGGUACUGCCAAUUGUGUCGUUGCCGACUGCUGUUUUUGCCACCCGUUGUUUACCACCAAAGCUGCCCAACUGUGGCUAGCCUGAGCCCUGUACCACGAAGCUCGCUUAGAGGGUUAGCGAGUUGCCACACGAGGACUUGGCAGCAAAUGAAGUACAAAAAUAUAGUUUAAACAG